rnacentral:rRNA from 1 species
CCCUAUGGGGUGCAGCAGUUGCGAAAACUUUACAAUGCACGAAAGUGUGAUAAGGGAAUUCCUAGUGCUUAUGCUUUGCAUAGGCUUUUGUCGAGUGUAAGAGGCUCGGCGAAUAAGUGAUGGGUAAGACCGGUGCCAGCCGCCGCGGUAACACCGGCGUCACAAGUGGCAAUCACGAUUAUUGGGCCUAAAGCGUCCGUAGCCGGUUUAGUAAAUUUCUUGUGAAAUUAUUUGGCUCAACCAAAUAGCGUGCAAGAAACACUGCUGAACUAGGAACCGGGAGGAGCUAGAGGUAUUCCAGGGGGAGCGGUAAAAUGCUAUAAUCCCUGGAGGACCGCCUAUGGCGAAGGCUUCUAGCUAGAACGGCUUCGACGGUGAGGGACGAAGGCUAGGGGAGCAAUCCGGAUUAGAUACCCGAGUAGUCCUAGCUGUAAACGCUGCGAGUUAGGUGGUGCAUGUUCUUAGUGGACAUGCGGCGCCUGAGUGAAGACGUUAAACUCGCCGCCUGGGAAGUAUGGCCGCAAGACUGAAACUUAAAGGAAUUGGCGGGGGCUCACUACAAGGGGUGCGGCGUGCGGUUCAAUUGGAUUAUACGCCGGAAAUCUCACCAGGAGCGACGGCAGGAUGAAAGUCAGAUUAAAAGUUUUACCUGACAAGCCGAGAAGUUGGUGCAUGGGCCAA